CAGCCGCCGCGGUAAUACGGAGGGUGCAAGCGUUAUCCGGAUUCACUGGGUUUAAAGGGUGCGUAGGCGGGUAUUUAAGUCAGUGGUGAAAUCCUAGAGCUUAACUCUAGAACUGCCAUUGAUACUAUUUAUCUUGAAUAUUGUGGAGGUAAGCGGAAUAUGUCAUGUAGCGGUGAAAUGCUUAGAUAUGACAUAGAACACCUAUUGCGAAGGCAGCUUACUACGCAUAUAUUGACGCUGAGGCACGAAAGCGUGGGGAUCAAACAGGAUUAGAUACCCUGGUAGUCCACGCCCUAAACGAUGGAUACUCGACAUACGCGAUACACUGUGUGUGUCUAAGCGAAAGCAUUAAGUAUCCCACCUGGGAAGUACGACCGCAAGGUUGAAACUUAAAGGAAUUGGCGGG
rnacentral:rRNA from 1 species